UCCCCGGUAGCUCAGCGGUAGAGCAGGUGACUGUUAAUCACUUGGUCGCUGGUUCGAAUCCGGCCCGGGGAGCCA
rnacentral:tRNA from 1 species